rnacentral:tRNA from 1 species
AGGGCUGUGAUGUCAAUGGUAGCAUGGAGGUCUCCAAAACCUCUCGUCCGGGUUCAAAUCCUGGCAGCCCUGCCA